AGUCUUCAGCGAAAGAAAAGAAAAUAGACGAGUGUCGAGCAGCCCUCUUGUGCAGUAGAAGGCCUGCAGAGUGAGAAAGUCAACUAAGCCAAGUUCCUGCCUUCGUGGGUCCUCACUGAGCCCUCUUCACAGGCCAUACACAACCUCUGCUGGAGGUCGGGGCGCCAGCACAUCUGGAUUUGUGUUUGACCACACAUCUGGGCACCCUGGCCUAGCCAGGCUGACACAUCCGAUGAACCAGCACACCCUGCAGCUUUUUUUCCCAGUGUCAGCGCAUUCCGAAGAGCUCCACCUGGCCUUCCGCAUGCCGCCCCAUUCCUCUCCCGUCACUGUCCCUUGGCCCCGCCCAGCCUCUCUCUCCUUUGAGCCACAAACUAUAAUUUCUCCAUCUUUAAGAUGGGACCCACGUCCCCUCGGUCACUCCAAUGCCACUUUUCUCCGCCCAGCUGUCUCCACUCCCUCAUUCCCUUCUCCCUCCAAACUGUGCUCCAGCCUGCAGCCUCACCCCGCUGCUGGGCCCAGAGGCCUUGCUGCCAAAUCCUACAGGCAGUGUUGUUGUCGCCUUAUUUCCUCAUCUAAUCUGACCUCAAGGCAGCACUGACCACCGCCAACCACCCCUCUUUCUUGAAAGGCCUGUCUGAGGUUCAGAGGCUGCUCCGCGCCUUCCUCCUUCCUCUCCUUCCUCCCCCUCCACAUCCCCCACCUUCCCAGUCUCCAGGGCUGGCUCUGCCCUGCCCGCCCUGCCCUGCCCUCUCCGAGGCUGCUUCUCUGCCAGCACUUGCACUGGUCCAUCCCAGGGUCUCAACUCCUGCUCCGGCUGUGACUCCAGAUUCCCCCCUCAACCUUAGCUUUCUCCCGAGGGUCAUCACUACUGGUUGUUUACGCUUCUCAGACCCAUCAAGUCCAAAACCCGCCAUCGUCUCCAACUCCUUCCCAGAAACGUUCUUCGGUCUCCUAGCGCCUCCAGUAGCCCAAUUUGGGCCAAACCAGAGCCGUUCCUCACUCCUCUAACACCAGGCAGCGCAACACAGGGAAAUCUCUGCCACUGCCAGCCCUCUGCCUCCACCGGCCACCUGUGGAAACAUCUCCUGCCUGCAUUUCUGUGGCUGCUUCUAACCAGGCCUCUGCCUCUUUGCUCUUGCACCAGCCUGUCUGCACAGGGGUCAUGUAAGGGAGCAUAAGUGAGGCCAUCUUGUGACGCUGAACGUCCCCAGCCCCUCCUCUGUGUGGCUACUCGCUGUUCUGCAUUUACUCUAAAAUAAGUCACAUGCUCUCCUGAUUUAUGGACUCCGCUUACACAUGUGCCGUCCCGAUAGCUUGAUAAAUUAAAACUUUGUUGUAUGAGUUCCCCUCCAGGAACAGGCUGACCACAGGUGGGAAACACACCUGCAAGGCAUCCAUCACAGCUGAUGGAAGAGAACAGUGAA
rnacentral:lncRNA from 1 species